rnacentral:tRNA from 1 species
AGUCUUAUAUUCAUAAAUGAUAUUAAAUUGCAAAUUUAAAGGAAAAAUUUAAAAUUUUUAAGGCUU